ACCGUUCAAAGAAAGGACGAAAGAUGACAUCCUUAAAAUGUACCGUGGAUGCGGGCGCGCCAAAACUCGCGGUCGUUUGCCUGUGUGGGUGUGUGUGUACGUGUGGGAUAAAAGGGAAAGAAAAAGCAACCCUAGCGCGAAACACGGCGAAAGCCCAUCGCCACACACUCACACUCGUACAGCACGUACAGCAUCAUACACACAAACGCAAACCCAUCCGCCGCUGCUGGACAGAAUUCUGUCAUGUUUGUCCAGCUUUUCUUCUAUCUGCUUUCUCUGUUCCCCGUUCGGGCGCGGAAAAUCGAAAAUUAACCCCACACACGCGCUCGCGCUCGCUGAACAUUACGAUCUCCUUCGGAAAACGUACGUCCAGUCCGUAGAUUUUCUUCCAGCAUCAGGGGAAUUGGAUCUUUAAUCUAACUCGAGAAAAAUCUCCUGGCAAUGGCAUGGGCACGGGCGAAUCGGCACACAUUUUCGCCCUCCGUCUACGUACUAUCCUCAUACGCGAAUUUAAUCCCAUUUGUCACCGUAGCGCGUGAAGGUUUAAUAAAGCGUACGUCCUGCAAAUGGUGA